rnacentral:rRNA from 1 species
AUUGAACGCUGGCGGCAGGCCUAACACAUGCAAGUCGAGCGAGCGGCGGACGGGUGAGUAAUGUCUGGGAAACUGCCUGAUGGAGGGGGGUAACUACUGGAAACGGUAGCUAAUACCGCAUACCAUCAGAUGUGCCCAGAUGGGAUUAGCUAGUAGGUGGGUUAACGGCUAACCUAGUCGACGAUCCCUAGAUGGUCUGCGAGGAUGACCAGCAACACUGGAACGGAGAAACGGUCCAGACUCCUACGGGAGGCAGCAGUGGGGAAUAUUGCACAAUGGGGGAAAGCCUGAUGCAGCCAUGCGGGGUGUGUGAAGAAGGCCUUCGGGUUGUAAAGCACGUUCAGCGGGGAGGCGUUACCUGCAGAAGAAGCACCGGCUAACUCCGUGCCAGCAGCCGCGGUAAUUC